UAGGGAAUCUUCCACAAUGGGCGAAAGCCUGAUGGAGCUACGCCGCGUGUGUGAUGAAGGGUUUCGGCUCGUAAAACACUGUUGUAAGAGAAGAAUGACAUUGAGAGUAACUGUUCAAUGUGUGACGGUAUCUUACCAGAAAGGAACGGCUAAAUACGUGCCAG
rnacentral:rRNA from 1 species